UCAAUUCUUAGAGGCUGAACCUGUCUUUCCUGUAUACUCAAAAUCAACACUAAAAGACCAGGAUCAAAUGUGCAAGAUAAAUAUUUGUUCAAAUCACAAAUCAAGAUAUCUUUUCCAAGAACAAAUUGCACCUUUUUCAGCCUUUCAAGGUGCUCAUCAAAAUAGAUAUUACAGACAAGAAUUUUAUCAAGGUAUGCAACAAAAAUAUUCAUUUUCAAGAUGGGCAUAUCCUUCCCAACAUCUGAACACACAAG
rnacentral:lncRNA from 1 species